AAGGGAGACCUAAUUCAGGUAGGAGACGAAAAAAAAGUAGUCCCAACCAAGAAUCAAUCCCAAAAGGCCGGAGCGAGGCGAAAUUGGCUUUCAAACUAGGUUCUGGGUUCACACAAGACCUGAAUCAGGAACAAGGGCUAUUAGCUCAGGUGGUUAGAGCGCACCCCUGAUAAGGGUGAGGUCCCUGGUUCGAGUCCAGGAUGGCCCACCUGCACAGGUGGCAAAAACAAGAGAAGCGAGGAAUCAGCACCUUAUCUUAUCUAUAUAUAUAUAGGAGAGAGUGCUGGCUCUGAGUAAAGAGUCCAGAGGAACCUUGAAAACUGCAUAGAGCUAGGUGAAAAAGCCAAAAAAGAAGACCGCAA
rnacentral:tRNA from 1 species